UAUGUCCGGGUGGUUAAGGAGAUAGAUUCGAAAUCUACUGGGUUUCACCCGCGGAGGUUCGAAUCCUGUUACUG
rnacentral:tRNA from 12 species